UUGAUUGUACCAUGUAAAACAUAUGUUUGAAACAUGUUUGCUCUUGAGUCCUGGCAAUGGUUGCUGAUUUGGAAACAUCAGCGUUGACACUCAUUAUCAACUGGCUGGUCUCAGUCUGUGCAGACUGUGGAUUUCUCCUUCAUAGAGCAAUGGCAAAUAGACCACAGAUACCUUCCCUUGCCUUACUCUGGAAUAUGAUACUAAUUCCCCACAGUUUACUAUAUGCCUUGGAACGAGUUGAAAAGACACCUACAUGCCCUCAUCCAUGGGGUGAGAUGGGCACAUGGACUCAACGUCAGUGGGGAUAGCAAUGCUUUUCCUCAUUCAAGAUAUCCAGUGCUGCACGAGCUGCUGCAAAUUCCAUUCACACCUAAGAAGAUUUCAAGCCUUUCAUAGCUCCAGUUUUAAGAAACUAGCAAUAGGUUUUGACAUAAAAAAAUAUAUGAAGUAUACAUGGGGAUAAAAGAAUGUUUUGAAA